GACGAACGCUGGCGGCGUGCUUAACACAUGCAAGUCGAACGGAAAGGCUCUUCUUUUGUGGGGUGCUCGAGUGGCGAACGGGUGAGUAACACGUGAGUGACCUGCCCUUGACUUUGGGAUAACUUCAGGAAACUGGGUCUAAUACCGGAUAGGAGCUCCUUCUGCAUGGUGUGGUUGGGAGAGUUUUGGCGGUUGGGGAUGGACUCGCGGCUUAUCAGCUUGUUGGUGGGGUAGUGGCUUACCAAGGCUUUGACGGGUAGCCGGCCUGAGAGGGUGACCGGCCACAUUGGGACUGAGAUACGGCCCAGACUCCUACGGGAGGCAGCAGUGGGGAAUAUUGCACAAUGGGCGGAAGCCUGAUGCAGCAACGCCGCGUGCGGGAUGACGGCCUUCGGGUUGUAAACCGCUUUCGCCAGGGACGAAGCGUAAGUGACGGUAAUUGGUAAAGAAGCACCGGCUAACUACGUG
rnacentral:rRNA from 1 species